rnacentral:rRNA from 1 species
UCAUGGCUCAGGAUGAACGCUGGCGGCGUGCUUAACACGUGCAAGUCGAACGGAGUUUUAACGGAAGUUUCGGAUGGAGGUUAAGACUUAGUGGCGGACGGGUGAGUAACGCGUGGGUAACCUGCCUCAUACAGGGGGAUAACAGUUAGAAAUGACUGCUAACACCGCAUAAUAUAGUGAAACCGCAUGAUUUUGCUAUCAAAUAUUUAUAGGUAUGAGAUGGGCCCGCGUCUGAUUAGCUAGUUGGUGGGGUAAAGCCUACCAAGGCGACGAUCAGUAGCCGGCUUGAGAGAGUGACCGGCCACAUUGGGACUGAGACACGGCCCAAACUCCUACGGGAGGCAGCAGUGGGGAAUAUUGGACAAUGGGGGAAACCCUGAUCCAGCGAACCGCCGCGUGAGUGAAGAAGUAUUUCGGUAUGUAAAGCUCUAUCAGCAGGGAAGAUAAUGACAGUACCUGACUAAGAAGCCCCGGCUAACUACGUGCCAGCCGCAGC